GACGAACGCUGGCGGCGUGCUUAACACAUGCAAGUCGAACGUGAUUUUUGUGGAAAUUCUUUCGGGAAUGGAAAUGAAAUGAAAGUGGCGAACGGGUGAGUAACACGUGAGCAACCUACCUUACACAGGGGGAUAGCCGUUGGAAACGACGAUUAAUACCGCAUGAGACCACAGAAUCGCAUGAUAUAGGGGUCAAAGAUUUAUCGGUGUAAGAAGGGCUCGCGUCUGAUUAGCUAGUUGGAAGGGUAAAGGCCUACCAAGGCGACGAUCAGUAGCCGGUCUGAGAGGAUGAACGGCCACAUUGGAACUGAGACACGGUCCAAACUCCUACGGGAGGCAGCAGUGGGGAAUAUUGCACAAUGGGGGGAACCCUGAUGCAGCGACGCCGCGUGAGCGAAGAAGGUUUUCGAAUCGUAAAGCUCUGUCCUAUAAGAAGAUAAUGACGUAUUCAUAG
rnacentral:rRNA from 1 species